rnacentral:rRNA from 1 species
UACAGAGGUCUCAAGCGUUGUUCGGAUUCAUUGGGCGUAAAGGGUGCGUAGGCGGCGCGGUAAGUCGGGUGUGAAAUCUUGGAGCUUAACUCCGAAACUGCAUUCGAUACUGCCGUGCUUGAGGACUGGAGAGGAGACUGGAAUUUACGGUGUAGCGGUGAAAUGCGUAGAUAUCGGAAGGAACACCAGUGGCGAAAGCGGCUUCCUGGUCCAGCACCGACGUUCAGGCACGAAAGCGUGGGGAGCAAACAGG